CAUAGUUGCUAGGAUUAGACCCGAAACCGAGUGAUCUAGCCAUGGGCAGGUUGAAGGUGAGGUAACACUUACUGGAGGACCGAACCGACUAAUGUUGAAAAAUUAGCGGAUGACUUGUGGCUAGGGGUGAAAGGCCAAUCAAACUCGGAGAUAGCUGGUUCUCCCCGAAAGCUAUUUAGGUAGCGCCUCGGACGAAUACUACUGGGGGUAGAGCACUGUUAAGGCUAGGGGGUCAUCCCGACUUACCAACCCUUUGCAAACUCCGAAUACCAGUAAGUACUAUCCGGGAGACACACGGCGGGUGCUAACGUCCGUCGUGAAGAGGGAAACAACCCAGACCGCCAGCUAAGGUCCCAAAGUUAUAGCUAAGUGGGAAACGAUGUGGGAAGGCUCAGACAGCCAGGAUGUUGGCUUAGAAGCAGCCAUCAUUUAAAGAAAGCGUAAUAGCUCACUGGUCGAGUCGGCCUGCGCGGAAGAUUUAACGGGGCUAAGCUAUACACCGAAGCUGCGGCAAUGUGCUUUUGCAUAUUGGGUAGGGGAGCGUUCUGUAAGCCGUUGAAGGUGUGCUGUAAGGCAUGCUGGAGGUAUCAGAAGUGCGAAUGCUGACAUGAGUAACGAUAAAGGGAGUGAAAAACUCCCUCGCCGGAAGAUCAAGGGUUCCUGUCCAACGUUAAUCGGGGCAGGGUAAGUCGACCCCUAAGGC
rnacentral:rRNA from 1 species